rnacentral:lncRNA from 1 species
AGAAUCUGAAGUCGCCUUCGCACUCUUCAUAUAUUUACCCUAGCUUCUCAUAGGAAACUAAACAUGUGAUGAUUUUUGUUCAUGUAGAGUGUGUGCCCUUCGAUGGCGAAGGUGAAACAUUUCUUCAGUGAUAGAUUUCAUGUCACCCUCCCAGUCCAGCUUGCUGAGCUCCAGUUCCAUAUCGUCUGCGCUCCGAGGCCAUAUAUUAACAGAACUGCUUUCUUCAGUCUUCAAAUUCUCAUCUGGUGAUCAGGAGCUAGCUCCCAGUACGGUGGGUGGCUGGGAAGCUGUAAGCAGUCGCCGAAAGGUCUUGGUCUAGCAGAUAUCAUCAUGUUCCCUCGGUCACUACACUAUGGAAUGCUCAAGAGUGAUCCGGCACAGGCCAUGUUCCAAGUGAUGCCAUUCCUCCUCUUGCUGAUCCACUAGGCGCUAGGGUUUCCUUUUGGCAUAGUUUGUGUCCCAAGUUUUUUUUCAGUCUUCCUUUUAUUCUGUGUUCAUUAUGUAUGUACUUGUGUUGGCCUGUGCGCAGGUAGCUGCAGCGGUUGUUUUCUUUGUUUUUAGUGUUCUUAUGAGUAUGUACACUAGACGUUGGGCUAAUUUCUUCCGAGAGCAUGUACCUGGCGUUGUGGACGUAAUAAUGUAGUAUGCCAUCGAUCGUACAAACAUAUAUACGUAACAAACACUCUUUACAUAUUGUGAAC